GACGAACGCUGGCGGCGUGCUUAACACAUGCAAGUCGAACGGAAAGACGCGGCCUUUGUGGUGUUCUCGAGUGGCGAACGGGUGAGUAACACGUGAGUAACCUUCCCUUGACUUGGGGAUGACUGCAGGAAACUGGGGUUAAUACCGGAUAGGAGCUCCGGCGGCAUGGGGGGGGUUGGAAAGUUUCGGCGGUUGGGGAUGGACUCGCGGCUUAUCAUCUUGUUGGUGGGGUAGUGGCUUACCAAGGCUUUGCCGGGUAGCCGGCCUGAGGGGGUGACCGGCCACAUUGGGCCUGGGAUACGGACCAGACUGCUACGGGGGGCAGCGGGGGGGAAUAUUACCCAAUAGGCGGAAGCCUGAGGAAGAGACGCCGCGUGCGGGAUGCCGGCCUUCGGGUUGUAAAACGCUUUCGCCUGUGACGAAGCGUGAGUGACGGUACUGGAUAAAGAAGCACCGGCUAACUACGUG
rnacentral:rRNA from 1 species